CACUACAACAAUUUCGCUAAUAGACAACAGGCCAAAACCGUUCCUGGGCUUGUUUUCUCCUGGGUUUGUUGUUGGGUCUCUUUCGUCUUCGUCUGGUUUUGCAGGUGGUUGGUGUUUUCGUCCGUUCCUGUGCUGUUGGAGUUUUUCGGUGGUUUUGGUUCUGGGCGUUUGGUUUUCGGUGUUUUGUUGUUUUUCGCUCUCGCGGUCUGCGGCCUUUGUUGGUCUUUUGUUUCUACUGUACUUUAGUUUUCUUUGGUUGUUUCUUCUUUUUUUACGGACUCUCUUGUUUUUGUUGAGGUCCGGCCCUUAGUUUGCGUCUGUGCUCUCAAGGAUUUUUCUCGGUAUUUUUCUUUUUGCUUUUAAUAAAAUUUCUAUUGCAGUAACAUGCCAAAACCGUUGUCUAUUAGAAAAGUGUAUGUCAUAAAUGAAGGUGUAGUCUAUGUAGGGGAGCUGAUAGAC
rnacentral:lncRNA from 1 species